AUACGAAGGGGGCUAGCGUUGUUCGGAAUCACUGGGCGUAAAGCGCGCGUAGGUGGAUCAAUUAGUUGAGGGUGAAAUCCCGGGGCUCAACCUCGGAACUGCCUUCAAUACUGUUGAUCUUGAGACCGAGAGAGGUGAGUGGAAUUCCUAGUGUAGAGGUGAAAGUCGUAGAUAUUAGGAAGAACACCAGUGGCGAAGGCGGCUCACUGGCUCGGUACUGACGCUGAGGUGCGAAAGCGUGGGGAGCAAACAGGAUUAGAUACCCUUGUAGUCC
rnacentral:rRNA from 1 species